GGGGAAUAUUGCGCAAUGGGCGAAAGCCUGACGCAGCCACGCCGCGUGAGCGAUGAAGGUCUUCGGAUCGUAAAGCUCUGUGGGGGGAGAAGAAGAAAGCCGGUGAAGAGCCGGCCCUGACGGUAUCCCCUUAGCAAGCACCGGCUAACUCCGUGCCAGCAGCCGCGGUAAUACGGAGGGUGCAAACGUUGCUCGGAAUCAUUGGGCGUAAAGCGCGCGUAGGCGGCUGAACAAGUUGGAUGUGAAAGCCCUGGGCUCAACCUAGGAUGUGCAUUCAAAGCUGUUCGGCUUGAGUCUCGGAGGGGGUCAGAGAAUUCUCGGUGUAGAGGUGAAAUUCGUGGAUAUCGGGAGGAACACCAGUGGCGAAGGCGCUGACCUGGACGAUGACUGACGCUGAGGCGCGAAAGCGUGGGGAGCAAAC
rnacentral:rRNA from 1 species